AUUGAACGCUGGCGGCAGGCCUAACACAUGCAAGUCGAGCGGAUGAAGGGAGCUUGCUCCUGGAUUCAGCGGCGGACGGGUGAGUAAUGCCUAGGAAUCUGCCUGGUAGUGGGGGAUAACGUCCGGAAACGGGCGCUAAUACCGCAUACGUCCUGAGGGAGAAAGUGGGGGAUCUUCGGACCUCACGCCAUCAGAUGAGCCUAGGUCGGAUUAGCUAGUUGGUGGGGUAAAGGCCCACCAAGGCGACGAUCCGUAACUGGUCUGAGAGGAUGAUCAGUCACACUGGAACUGAGACACGGUCCAGACUCCUACGGGAGGCAGCAGUGGGGAAUAUUGGACAAUGGGCGAAAGCCUGAUCCAGCCAUGCCGCGUGUGUGAAGAAGGUCUUCGGAUUGUAAAGCACUUUAAGUUGGGAGGAAGGGCAGUAAGUUAAUACCUUGCUGUUUUGACGUUACCAACAGAAUAAGCACCGGCUAACUUCGUG
rnacentral:rRNA from 1 species